GUGCAAACCUACGCACAGGAAGUUGGGCAGGAUGUGCUUGGGCCCUGGCCUGCCAAGAUUCCAAGGAAAGCCUGAGCAUAUUUCAGGAGUGGGAAGGACACUGUGCAGAGCCUGGGCCUGUUUCUAGGAGAAGGAGAGGAGAUAUUCCCAAUGUGGAGUGAGAAUAGAGGACGAACGAAGGGAAUGCCUGAGGGGAUGGCAGGGAGGUUGAGACCUGUGGAGAGCCCUGAACACCAGGAACCAACGUUCAGAUAAGUGUAAACGCUGUCCCACUGUUGUUCCUUCUACAGGAAGGCGAGACAGGCUGGACGAUUCUUUCCCCGCUCUGUCUUUUGGGAGAGGUUUCCCUUUGUCAUGACGCUGCGCACUUGGUGUAAGCAGAUCCAGAUGCUGAGGACAUGCCCAGCCUCACCUGGCUCCCCUCAAGGCUGCGGUGUGCCCAUCUAGUUUUCUUAAGCAAUCAGCGCCAGACAGCUGAGACAGAUGCGCAGCAUUCUCCCCAGGACUCAGUGCUGUGAUCUCCGAGGUGUUCAACUUGUCACCAGGAGCUGCAGGAAGAAGAGUCAUCUCCGUGUGGAACAAUCAGGAAAACCUCCAACCACAUGGCACUGCUGAGAGCUGGUGACUUCCUACUGUGUCGGAGCAGACGAUGCGGCUUGCUCAUCACCCAGUGCGUGAUGACACAGGCUGUCAGCUAGUGUUAGGGCCUGUGUGGCUGCUAGUUUUCCUAGGAAGGACACAGAAGUCCAGACAAAGGGACCCUUGAGGACGGGAACACCAGGAAUUCAUGGCAUUUUGUGGAAAACCUUAAAAUAGUUUCCUUGGAGUAAAAGUGUUUUGCAUCAUCAGAAAGUUUCAUUUGUCCUUGGGAUUCUGUUACCUGAUAAACCAAAAAAUGAAAACUUAUAUAUUUGUGUGUGUAAUAUCUUUUCUUUCAUGAGUUGCAAAACCAAGUUUUGAUGUUGUACAAAAUUGUACAUGUUUAUAGAAAGUACAUGAUUCAGGGGGAACAGGAAUGAUUCUAGCCAAACUGAAGGUCACAUAGACAAUAAGAAAAAUCUGAGAGCCCUUGGCUUCUUAGAGGCUAGUGAUACUGGGGAAAUUCCAUUUUCAAGGAAGAGAAGGAAGGAGGGAAGGAAGAGAGGAAAAAGGAAGGAAUAUAUGUAUAUAAUCUGUGUGUAAUUGUAUGUGUAUAUAUGUGCAUCUUUGCAUGUGUACAUGUAUAUGUGUGUGUGAAUGUGCUUAUGUGUAUAUGUGCGUGUGUAUACGUGUAUGCAUAUAUGUAUAUGUGUGUUCAUGUGUGUACAUCUUUAAGAUGCCCUCCUAACCUGGCAUCAGCCCCACUCAGGUCUGAAUCAUACCCACCGCCCUUUUCCCCGGGCACGG
rnacentral:lncRNA from 1 species